CAGGCUUAACACAUGCAAGUCGAGGGGCAGCAUGGUCUUAGCUUGCUAAGGCCGAUGGCGACCGGCGCACGGGUGAGUAACACGUAUCCAACCUGCCGUCUACUCUUGGACAGCCUUCUGAAAGGAAGAUUAAUACAAGAUGGCAUCAUGAGUCCACAUGUUCACAUGAUUAAAGGUAUUCCGGUGGACGAUGGGGAUGCGUUCCAUUAGAUAGUAGGCGGGGUAACGGCCCACCUAGUCUUCGAUGGAUAGGGGUUCUGAGAGGAAGGUCCCCCACAUUGGAACUGAGACACGGUCCAAACUCCUACGGGAGGCAGCAGUGAGGAAUAUUGGUCAAUGGGCGAGAGCCUGAACCAGCCAAGUAGCGUGAAGGAUGACUGCCCUAUGGGUUGUAAACUUCUUUUAUAAAGGAAUAAAGUCGGGUAUGGAUACCCGUUUGCAUGUACUUUAUGAAUAAGGAUCGGCUAACUCCGUGCCAGCAGCCGCGGUAAUACGGAGGAUCCGAGCGUUAUCCGGAUUUAUUGGGUUUAAAGGGAGCGUAGAUGGAUGUUUAAGUCAGUUGUGAAAGUUUGCGGCUCAACCGUAAAAUUGCAGUUGAUACUGGAUAUCUUGAGUGCAGUUGAGGCAGGCGGAAUUCGUGGUGUAGCGGUGAAAUGCUUAGAUAUCACGAAGAACUCCGAUUGCGAAGGCAGCCUGCUAAGCUGCAACUGACAUUGAGGCUCGAAAGUGUGGGUAUCAAACAGGAUUAGAUACCCUGGUAGUCCACACGGUAAACGAUGAAUACUCGCUGUUUGCGAUAUACGGCAAGCGGCCAAGCGAAAGCGUUAAGUAUUCCACCUGGGGAGUACGCCGGCAACGGUGAAACUCAAAGGAAUUGACGGGGGCCCGCACAAGCGGAGGAACAUGUGGUUUAAUUCGAUGAUACGCGAGGAACCUUACCCGGGCUUAAAUUGCAGAUGAAUUACGGUGAAAGCCGUAAGCCGCAAGGCAUCUGUGAAGGUGCUGCAUGGUUGUCGUCAGCUCGUGCCGUGAGGUGUCGGCUUAAGUGCCAUAACGAGCGCAACCCUUGUUGUCAGUUACUAACAGGUUCUGCUGAGGACUCUGACAAGACUGCCAUCGUAAGAUGUGAGGAAGGUGGGGAUGACGUCAAAUCAGCACGGCCCUUACGUCCGGGGCUACACACGUGUUACAAUGGGGGGUACAGAGGGCCGCUACCACGCGAGUGGAUGCCAAUCCCAAAAACCUCUCUCAGUUCGGACUGGAGUCUGCAACCCGACUCCACGAAGCUGGAUUCGCUAGUAAUCGCGCAUCAGCCACGGCGCGGUGAAUACGUUCCCGGGCCUUGUACACACCGCCCGUCAAGCCAUGGGAGCCGGGGGUACCUGAAGUGCGUAACCGCGAGGAGCGCCCUAGGGUAAAACUGGUGACUGGGGCUAAG
rnacentral:rRNA from 1 species